GAGAAGGGGACGACAGAGGAUGAGAUGGCUGGAUGGCAUCACCGACUCGAUGGAUUCUUAAGUACCAUCAUUCAUCUGCUGUUUGCUGCCUGAAACUAAAGGAAAAGAGCCUAAGAAUUCAUGGAUUCCUAAGAUUCAGACACAUGAAUGGGACAGUGAAUGGUAAUGCCUCUGUUAGACUGUGGAUAAAAAUGAACGCCUGUUCCAAGGCCUUGGUGAGCUAAACCAGUUAUGCAAAGUGAAACUCUGUGCAUAGUCUUUUGUUCCAUUCCUAAUCUCUAGUUGACUGUACAGUGGGAAAUCAACCUCCAGGGGGUUCCAGAAAGGCCUGAAGCAAACUCCACCCUCCAGGCCUUAGCCACACAGAGGUAGAUUUUGUUCUCUAGCAAGCUCCGGGAGUCGAUGAUGGACAGGGAAGCCUGGGGUACUGCAGUCCAUGGGGUCACAAAGAGUCAGACAAGACUGAGCGAUGGAACUGAACUGAAGGCAAUUGGUACUCAAGAUUGUUUCCUUUUCUUUUAAAAUGAUACAUUUAUGUUCUUUCUGAUUGUGAAAGCAAUAUAUGCUCAUUGAAUAAAAAUUAGAAAACUA